rnacentral:tRNA from 1 species
GAGAAAUGGCAGAGCGGUCGAAUGCGGCGGUCUUGAAAACCGUUGUACAGCAAUGUACCGGGGGUUCGAAUCCCUCUUUCUCC